UGCAGAAGUGGAGAUGUGUAGAAAGUUAAGGCUUGUAGGAUUCCAAUUCUCAUGACUGUUACCAUCAUGAAAUGAGUAUCCCAGAAGAGGAUACAGCCUUAGAGACCGUCGUGCUCAUUUGCCUCUUGCUGAAGCAGCUGGACUCUCUUCUCUUUGCCUUUCACCUUCACGGGGCAGGAGGAAACUACCGUGGCUUUUGAAGGAGGUUUUGGCAGUUAACAAUCCUUUAUGGAGCAAAGGAUUACGCCAGAUACUAGGAAAGAUACAAAGACGAGUGAAACACAACUGCGUCCUCGGAGGAGUUUACAAUCUGAUGUGCACCAGGAAUGCACGGGAACAGAGUGGUGGCUCUGCACAGCGCUGGACUCCUGACCUUCUGGGCUCCAAAUGAAGAUGCUGGCAUCAGAUUUGAGCUUUUUAAAUGUUCCAUCCCAGGAGUGAGGUUGACGUUAUUCCUCCCUGGAUCUUAGCAGAGCUGCUAUCUAGGAAGAACACUUAAAAAGGCCCCCGAAAUGCUCUCUUGGAGAUGGAAGAAGGAGAGGAGAAUGAAGUGGGCCGAUGCGAAGGUGACGACCAGACGGGUGGAUGGAUGACAGAGGGCAGAGCCAUGGUGGCGGAGGACAGCGUGGGCUGGUGCUGCACUCAUCAGUUCCGUGAGCACCGUGUUCCGUGGACGGGACCACGGGGAUGAGCAGGAAGUGGCGUGAGGGGAGGAGAUGCUUAGAAUUGAGCAAGUUUGGCAGCAUUUAAAUCCCCAAACCCUUUCAAUUCUGCAUCAGAAGAGAUGAUGAGAGGCCCUUUGGUCAUUCUUUGGUCUGCAAGCGCAGCCACACACUGUCCCUAAGACAAGAACAGUCGUAGCCCAGCCUUGGAGUUUCACCAUACGGCCAGCAUGGGUCAGGGUGUCUUAACACACACGAACGUGUUGAGUCAUCAUUGUCCGAAUUAGGGACUGUUACGAUCUCCAUUUUAUAGAGAAAGAUAGGGAGGCAUCGAGAGGACAAGUAACUUGCCCUGUGCCACAAGCUAGUGAGAGAGGAGCACAAGAUUCUGGCUUCUAAGUCCGUGCUUUCAACCUCUGGGCUCUCCUGCUCUGCAUAAAGAUGUGCCCAGAUCAGUUAAACCUCACACAAAAAAGAAAAUCUACAGUUCCCUCAAUAACAGGUAAUUUAUUUUGCGUGGAUCAAAUUCCUCUGUGUUCUCCUUGCUGAUGCUGUACUUGAAGAUCGCUGAAAGGCUGCUGACUGGUAUUCUCAGCUUUACAUACUUUCUCUCAACUCAGAAGUUAAGUUAUAGUCAGUAUGUGAGUGUUAAUUGCUGGGUUGACCAGGGAUAGACAGUGCUCUCCCCGGUGUCUGUUAGUAACUCGGCUCUGGCCCCUCCUUCAAAGGUCUCUGCUCCAUACAGGACACAAGGUAGAACCUGAUUUUCCUUCAUUUCUGCCUUAAUUGGUUCCUAGCCAGGGUUUUCCCUUGAGAAAACUUGAAAGGAGCAAUAGAAUCUUUAGUCUCCUGAGGCAGAUUCAUAGCAGAACUGAGAGUCUCAUUGGUCCAGUGUGGACUCUUGAUAUCAGUCAGUGCUCACUAGAGAGACAGAUUUAAUGCAAGAUGCACUGAUAUAGGAUUUACAAGGUAGACUUACAGCGGCCACCUGCAGUCAGGGAUGGAAGAGUGCAAAAGGCAUCUGCACACUGGGGAGCUGGAGGAUCCAGUCAAACAUUGAAGACCUGGAGCUACUGGUGAGUCCUAUGAGAGUCCAUAUGACGGUCUGCAGUGGAAGGCUGAAGAGGCUUUCCUGGGGACGACAUCCACAGUGCAGGUGGGGCCUGGAGCUCCUCUGAAGAAACAUUUAAUUUUAUUCCAUCCAGCUUAAAGCCUACUGAAACCUAUUGGUUGGUGCCACUCACACCCAGGGUGGUCUUCUGUCCUCAGUAAAUCCCUUCAGCCACACCCAGAACCAUGCUGAUCCAGUGAGUCAGGCGUUUCCUACUUAAAUUGACACGACAGUCAACCUCACACUCUUUAAGGUCCAGUGCCACACCAGGGGUGCGAUUUCCAGCACUGCUGCCUGACAUCAGACACUGAAAGGCACUGGUGAUGGGAAGCCCACACUUAGCCUUCCUGUUUGCAGCUGAAGUCGCUCUGUUCAUAUAACCACAAGGGUUAGGGCACAGCUGAUGCCAAGUCUCAGCUAAUGUCCAUUGGGUCCGCUGGCCGAGGCUGAUUUUGUUGCUUGGGUCUUCAGCAUUUCUACAGUGGUGCACGCUUUCUGGAGGGUGCUAAACAUGGCGCCUUUAUCUUCAGACAUGGUGCCCACUAUAGCGUCUAAAGCCUCAUGCUUCCAGACCUGAAUUUUUUUUAAUAGACUUAAUGUUUAGGGCUACUUUAAGUUCAGAGUAAAAGUAACCGAAUAGUACAGUGAUGCCCAUGUGCAUAGCCUCUCCCAUUCUCCACACCCCUGUGAGUUCUCUGUUCUCAUAAUUGAUGAGCAUCCAUCCACACAUCAUCAUGCCCUGUCUAUAAUUUACAUUAGGGUGCACUCUAGUGCUGUACACUGUAUGGGCUUUGAUAAACAUAUUGUGAUGCAGCUUCACUAUGGGUGUGGUCUUCCUGCUUUAAAUAUCCUUUGUAUUCUGCAUAUUUAUCCCUCUCUACCUCUGUCAAUCACUGAUCUUUUUACUGUCCCCCUGUUUUGCCUUUGACAGAGUGUCACAUAAUCAGAAUUAUAGAACAUGUACAAUUUUCAGGUUGGCUUCUUUCAUGGAUUAAGAGGGAUUUAAGCUUUUUCUAUUUUUUUAUGGCUUGAUAGCUCAUUUCUUUUUAACAGUGAAUAAUACUCCAAUAUCUGGAUUCACCAUUUAUCUGUUCCUCUACUGGGGGACAUACUGGUUGUUUCUGCAUUUUAGCAGUUAUGAAUAAAAGUGCUAUAAGCAUCCA